CCUACGGGAGGCAGCAGUGGGGAAUAUUGGACAAUGGGGGGAACCCUGAUCCAGCCAUGCCGCGUGUGUGAAGAAGGCCCUCGGGUUGUAAAGCACUUUCAGUGAGGAAGAACGCCUGGUGGUUAAUACCCAUCAGGAAAGACAUCACUCACAGAAGAAGCACCGGCUAACUCCGUGCCAGCAGCCGCGGUAAUACGGAGGGUGCGAGCGUUAAUCGGAAUUACUGGGCGUAAAGCGCGCGUAGGUGGCUUGAUAAGCCGGUUGUGAAAGCCCCGGGCUCAACCUGGGAACGGCAUCCGGAACUGUGAAGCUAGAGUGCAGGAGAGGAAGGUAGAAUUCCCGGUGUAGCGGUGAAAUGCGUAGAGAUCGGGAGGAAUACCAGUGGCGAAGGCGGCCUUCUGGACUGACACUGACACUGAGGUGCGAAAGCGUGGGUAGCAAACAGGAUUAGAUACCCUUGUAGUC
rnacentral:rRNA from 1 species